UACGUAGGGUGCGAGCGUUGUCCGGAAUUAUUGGGCGUAAAGAGCUCGUAGGCGGUCUGUCGCGUCUGCUGUGAAAAUCCAGGGCUCAACCCUGGACCUGCAGUGGGUACGGGCAGACUAGAGUGCGGUAGGGGAGAUCGGAAUUCCUGGUGUAGCGGUGAAAUGCGUAGAUAUCUGGAGGAACACCGGUGGCGAAGGCGGCAUCCUGGACCGGCAUUGACGCUGAGGCGCGAAAGCCAGGGGAGCAAACGGG
rnacentral:rRNA from 1 species